CAAUAGCGUAUAUUUAAGUUGUUGCAGUUAAAAAGCUCGUAGUUGGAUUUCGGAUGGGAUUUGCCGGUCCGUCGUUACGAUGUGCACUGGCCAGUCCUAUCUUGUUGUCGGGGACUAGCUCCUUGGAUUCACUUCCUGGGACUAGGAGCUGACGAGGUUACUUUGAGUAAAUUAGAGUGUUCAAAGCAAGCCUACGCUCUGAAUACAUUAGCAUGGAAUAACACGAUAGGACUCUGGCUUAUCUUGUUGGUCUGUGAGACCAGAGUAAUGAUUAAGAGGGACAGUCGGGGACAUUCGUAUUUCAUUGUCAGAGGUGAGAUUCUUGGAUUUAUGAAGGACGAACUUCUGCGAAAGCAUUUGUCAAGGAUGUUUUCAUUAA
rnacentral:rRNA from 1 species